rnacentral:rRNA from 1 species
AGCAGCCGCGGUAAUUCCAGCUCCAAUAGCGUAUAUUAAAGUUGUUGCAGUUAAAAAGCUCGUAGUUGAAUUUCGGGAUCAGUAUGUUGGUCGUGCUUCGGUACGUACUGUCAUUACUGGUUUCUACCUUCUGAAGAACCUUGAUGUCAUUAAUUUGGUGUCUUGGGGAAUCAGGACUGUUACUUUGAAAAAAUUAGAGUGUUUAAAGCAAGCAUACGCUUGAAUACAUUAGCAUGGAAUAAUGAAAUAGGACGUUUGAUUCUAUUUUGUUGGUUUCUAGGAUCGACGUAAUGAUUAAUAGGGAUAGUUGGGGGCAUUAGUAUUCAAUUGUCAGAGGUGAAAUUCUUGGAUUUAUUGAAGACUAACUACUGCGAAAGCAUUUGCCAAGGAUGUUUUCAUUAAUCAAGAACGAAAGUUAGGGGAUCGAAGACGAUCAGAUACCGUCGUAGUCUUAACCAUAAACUAUGCCGACUAGGGAUCGGAUGAUGUUAUUUUUAAUGACUCAUUCGGCGCCUUACG